rnacentral:tRNA from 2 species
UAAAAUGAAAUCUAUUGAUGUUUCAUUUACAAUGAAAAUUUUGUUUUUUUUAACCAUUUUAU